GCGCCGGCGGGGGCCCGCUGCUGCCCGCUCCGCCUGCGUGGUCUCGGAGCUCCGCGUCGUCUCCUUCGGCCUUUCGCCCUUAGCCUCGUCCCGGCCUCCGCGGCCCGGGCGGCUGGCCCGUCGUGAUGCGGUCGGCGCGCCCGGCGCGGCCCCGCUGAGGCUCGGCGCAGCGACGAGCGCGGCUCGGGGUCAUCAUGCCUACCCGAGUGUGUUGCUGCUGUUCUGCUCUGCGUCCUCGCUACAAACGCCUGGUGGACAACAUAUUCCCGGAAGAUCCAAAAGAUGGCCUUGUUAAAGCUGAUAUGGAGAAAUUGACAUUUUAUGCUGUAUCUGCUCCUGAGAAACUGGAUCGAAUUGGUUCUUACCUGGCAGAAAGGUUGAGCAGGGAUGUUGUCAGACAUCGUACUGGGUAUGUUUUAAUUGCUAUGGAGGCACUGGACCAGCUUCUUAUGGCCUGCCAUUCUCAAAGCAUCAAGCCGUUUGUAGAAAGCUUUCUGCAUAUGGUAGCAAAACUGCUGGAAUCAGGGGAACCAAAGCUUCAAGUUCUUGGAACAAAUUCUUUUGUCAAAUUUGCAAAUAUUGAAGAAGACACACCGUCAUAUCACAGACGUUACGACUUUUUUGUAUCUCGCUUCAGUGCCAUGUGUCACUCCUAUCAUAGUGAUCCAGAAAUACGAACAGAAAUCCGAAUCGCUGGAAUCAGAGGUAUUCAAGGUGUGGUUCGUAAAACAGUAAAUGAUGAACUUCGGGCUACCAUUUGGGAGCCUCAGCAUAUGGAUAAAAUUGUUCCAUCCCUGCUGUUCAAUAUGCAAAAGACAGAAGAGGCUGACAGUCGCAUAGGCCCUCCUCCUUCUCCUUCAGCAGCAGACAAAGAAGAGAAUCCCGCUGUGCUGGCUGAAAACUGCUUCAGAGAACUGCUGGGCCGGGCGAGCUUUGGGAAUAUGAAUAACGCUGUGAGACCAGUUUUUGCGCAUUUGGAUCAUCACAAACUAUGGGAUCCCAAUGAGUUUGCAGUUCACUGCUUUAAAAUUAUAAUGUAUUCCAUUCAGGCUCAGUAUUCUCACCACGUAAUCCAGGAGAUUCUCGGACACCUUGAUGCUUGUAAAAAAGAUUCUCCACGAGUUCGAGCAGGUAUUAUUCAGGUUCUAUUAGAGGCUGUUGCCAUUGCUGCUAAAGGUUCCAUAGGACCCACAGUGCUGGAAGUCUUCAACACCCUGUUGAAGCAUCUGCGUUUCAGUGUUGAAUUGGAAGCAAAUGAUUUACAGGGAGGCUCUACAGGCAAUGCCAACUUAAACACAAGUUCCAAAGACAGUGAUGAGAAGAUUGUGCAGAACGCUAUCAUCCAAACAAUAGGAUUUUUUGGAAGUAACCUGCCAGAUUAUCAGAGGUCAGAAAUCAUGAUGUUCAUUAUGGGGAAAGUACCUGUUUUUGGAACAUCUACACAUACUUUGGAUAUCAGUCAAUUAGGGGAUUUGGGAACCAGGCGGAUUCAAAUAAUGUUGCUGCGAUCUUUGCUUAUGGUAACUUCUGGGUACAAAGCGAAGACAAUAGUUACUGCACUGCCAGGGUCUUUUCUGGACCCUUUGUUAUCACCGUCCCUCAUGGAAGACUAUGAACUGAGACAGUUAGUCUUGGAAGUAAUGCAUAAUCUCAUGGAUCGCCAUGACAACAGGGCAAAGCUUCGAGGGAUCAGAAUAAUACCAGAUGUGGCUGACCUAAAAAUAAAAAGAGAAAAAAUUUGUAGACAAGACACAAGUUUCAUGAAAAAGAAUGGGCAGCAGCUAUAUCGGCACAUAUAUUUGGGCUGUAAAGAAGAAGACAAUGUUCACAAGAACUAUGAGCUACUUUAUACUUCUCUUGCUCUUAUAACUAUUGAAUUGGCCAAUGAAGAAGUAGUUAUUGAUCUCAUUCGAUUAGCCAUUGCUUUACAGGAUAGUGCAAUUAUCAAUGAAGAUAAUUUGCCAAUGUUCCAUCGUUGUGGAAUCAUGGCGCUGGUUGCUGCAUACCUCAACUUUGUAAGUCAGAUGAUAGCUGUUCCUGCGUUUUGCCAGCAUGUUAGCAAGGUUAUUGAAAUUCGAACUAUGGAAGCCCCUUAUUUUCUCCCAGAGCAUAUUUUCAGAGAUAAGUGCAUGCUUCCAAAAUCUUUAGAGAAGCAUGACAAAAAUUUGUACUUUUUGACCAACAAGAUUGCAGAGUCACUAGGUGGCAGUGGGCAUAGUGUUGAGAGGUUGUCAGUCCCGUACGUACCACAAGUGACAGAUGAAGAUCGACUUUCUAGAAGGAAGAGUAUUGUGGACACCGUAUCCAUUCAGGUGGAUAUUUUACCCAACAGCAUUCCUUCUGAUGAUGUGGUUAGUAACACGGAAGAAAUCACCUUUGAAGCACUGAAGAAAGCAAUUGAUACCAGUGGAAUGGAAGAACAGGAAAAGGAAAAGAGGCGUCUAGUGAUAGAGAAAUUCCAGAAAGCACCUUUUGAAGAAAUAGCAGCACAGUGUGAAUCCAAAGCAAAUUUGCUUCAUGAUAGACUUGCUCAAAUAUUGGAACUCACCAUACGGUAAAGACACUGAGGCUUAGAGAAGUAAAGUAACUUGCAGAAGUUUAUCCAGCUAUCCUCCUCCCAGCCCAUCGGGAACACUGACCAUUACUUCUGGGCACGCCCAAUACCAGUCUGUCCCAGUCUACGAGAUGAAGUUUCCAGAUCUGUGUGUGUACUGAGUGGCUCAUGAAGACCUCAGCAGAAAGCAUAAAAACUAGGGCCAAGCUGACUUUUCAGGGUUUACUUUAUGAUGGAAUUUAUCUUUAACCAAAUGCUUGGCAUACCAGGUUAGAAAUUUUGUAGCUGUAUGAUUUAUAGAGUACUUCUGAAGAUGGGUUUAUGCCAUGUUAAUUUUUUAUUUUUAGGUUCCUAUUGGCUUUUAAAAUUGAACAUAUAUUGGUCUCACAUUAAUUCAUUGUUAAAUAGUAUAUUUAAAACCUUUCACAAACAUAUAAUUAAAAAGUUCAGCCUUCCAGAGUUGAAGAUGUAUGAAGUGUCUAGUGUAUUUCUUAGACAUCUACGCAACUGCUUAAAAUUAGAACUGCUUUUGUUUUUCUUUGUCUGCAAAAGCAAAAACAUACAAAUAUAUUAAUCGUGGGGCUGCAGAACUGUCCUGUGGCUUUUUGUCCCCAUGUUUUGGAUGUUGUGAUCGGCAUCCUUCUGGUCAUACACCUCAACAAUAUGUGACUGUCAUUCCUCAACUUGUCUGUGGUCAUGACAUCUACUGAGUAAUAGUCCUAGAACAUGACCCCAAAAUCCCCAUAUGUCUAAGUGUCUAGUUCUUGUAAUACUGUGUUUUCUGCCAAAAGUUUGACCAUUCUCCUUAGAGUCUUAGAACUUACCCUUGGAGUACCAAACUGUGCAAUAUUUUUUACAUCAUAAGAUGUAUUUAGUUUACAGACUAUACUUUGAAAUUAUAGUAGUAUUUUUGCUGUGGCUCCAUUAAUUAAAUGAGCUAUAUAUUUAGUAUAGGAAAAAAAGACAUUUAAAACAGCUACUAGUUCACCUGUGAAGAGUGUGUACAUUUUAAUUUCUCUUGAGAGCACAUUAAUUUACAUUUUUAUAUGGUGCAUUGUUUUAAAUCCUCAUAGUCAAAAAAAUGCCCCAAAUGGAGUUUUAGUUUGUAAGAUUUGAACUGUAGCUUGUAUGCAUCUCUGUUUAGGAUUCAUGAUAUUACAUUUGAAAACAGUGCCUAUGGGUUUAGCCGUUAAGUGUGCUAAAAGAUCGUCGGUUUAAGCUUGUGUUGAUUUAAUAAGCUACCAGGAUUACAUGUGCUGACAAACACAUAGUGUUUUCUUAAAAUUAUGUACAUUUUAGUGAAUUCCAUCACACGGCAAAAAUGAGCAACUUUCUUUGCAGCUCUUAUAAAGUUAUUUUAGGACAUUUUUAUAAAAUAGUCUGUUUAUAAUUCUACCUUUUCAGGGUUUUGAUUCCUUUUUACAUCAAACAGUAUACAUAUCACAGAUUAUGACCCUAAAAACAAUUGAGUUUUAGCUUUAGCAUUUGUUUAAAAAAUCGUAGUGAAGAAUGACAUGUUAUUACUUUGUUUAGGAUUAUUUGGGCGCUUUCAGUAGAAACAAGAUAGAACAAGUAUACUCUAAAUUUUUUUGAAUAUUUAAACCAAAGUACAGCAUCUUGAAACAUCUUGCAAAAGAUUCUAGUCUUUGAAACCUGUCAAGCAUCCAUGGUGGUUUCUUCAGUGUAGAGAAACAAGACUUUGUUUUCCAAAUAAUAGUGCGGCCGCCGCUGGGCUUGAAUGGCUCCAUUGCAGCUGCCACUAUAACUUGAGGGCUUGACCAGGCGAAAACGCUUCAGCAUUUAAUAGGCCAGUUUUUAUGUUUUUCUUUAUUUUUCCUUUUUUUCUUCUGUAUUUUUAAAGAAAGCUAUUAACUUUUGAUUGUGCAAAAAUCUAAGCAGGGGGACAUACAAAAACAAUCAUCAUCCACUUGGAUGUCAUUUUAUAGAUUAACACUGUGUGCUUUUGUAUGAAAAAUAUAUAUAAUUUAAUAGUAUAAGAAAAGGAAAUAUAUAUUCAUUUGCACUCAUGCAAAACAAACUUUGCUGGACACAAUUUCACGUUUCUCUGUGAUUUAAAAAUGCAUGUAUAGCAUGUGGAGGAAAACCAUCUCAGUUGAUGUUUAUCACACUUUUCUUGUGGUCUGUUUGUAAACAGUUGAUUUGGGUUUGGGGGGGGAUUUUCUUGUUGUAGUUGUUUUUAAAUCACAGUAGACUUCUGUAUAUGCUAGAUUACCGAACUGGUCUCAUUAACAAUUCGUAAGAAAUGUGGAUUCCUGUCCUUGGCUUGCUAUCCCUUCCAGGAGAUGACAGGAGAUGGUGCAGGUCAUAGGUAUGCGUGCUAUUUGAGUAUAGCCGGUUUGGGUACUGAACGUUUAGGAUGUAUUGAAGUUCACUGUACUGCUAUAUUUUUGUAGAUAUUUAAAACUCAAUAAAAACUGUUCAUCGUUCUCUCUCUGCUGUAUACUGUUGCUUAUAUCAUUCAUUUUUUUCCUUGACAUUGAAUAGUUAACAUCUAAAUGUUCCUUCUAUACUUGUAUUGUCUGCUUAAUAUAGAGUCAUUGGAAUUAACCUGAAUACACACACACACACAAUACACACACACACACUCUCUUCCUUAAUACUUCUGAAUACAUUUUCUUUAAGAAUCUUAAUUCUGUACUUUACCAGCAGUUGACUUCCUCACAAUAUUUUUCUUCUGCCUGUCUGAAAAGGGGGGGACUAAUUUGUUUUAUUUGUGCCAAUAUAUGUACUAAAUGUAAUGAAUUGAGUUUUUUGUAAUGUAAAAAUUCACUGUAAUUCAUAUGUAAGCAAUAAAACAAAAUCUAAUAA